rnacentral:lncRNA from 1 species
GUCAUCGGGUACCAUUGCUAGAUGGUCACUUCGAUUAGUAUAGGAAUUGGUUCCUAUGCUACCGGCUUAGGUUCGAACCUGCGGGGUCACACACAUUAAAGGUUCCUAUCUGAUCUGAUGGCUGAUGAAGAGUUUUAAUGCUCGUGGACUAUGAGUCCUACAUAUCUGGGACUCUGUGAUCGAGAAUCAAGAUUCUCUGAUCAUGAGUCCCACACAUU